rnacentral:lncRNA from 1 species
CAGACAUCACCCCUGGUAAGUAAUAAAGAGUAAUUAUGGCUUAAAUGCUAUGGGUGUCUGGAAAAACAAUACAUGUAACAUGCAGAAAAUAUUAAAAUUCACCUUUUCUUUCUCACAGCAGCAGCAGCAUCCACUGCUGCACCAGCAGACAUCACCCCUGCAGCAGCAUCCACUGCUGCACCAGCAGACAUCACCCCUGCAGCAGCAUCCACUGCUGCACCAGCAGACAUCACCCCUGCAGCAGCAGCAUCCACUGCUGCAGCAGCAGACAUCACCCCUGGUAAGUAAUAAAGAGUAUGGCUUAAAUGCUAUGGGUGUCUGGAAAAAAAUACAUGUAACAUGCAGAAAAUAUUUAAAUUCAUCUUUUCUUUUUCACAGCAGCAGCAGCAUCCACUGUUGUACCAGCAGACAUCACCCCUGGUAAGUAAUAAAGAGUAACUAUGGCCUACA